rnacentral:lncRNA from 1 species
UAAUAACAUGAUUCCUUAAUUUUACAACUUCACAGAAUUUAUUCAAGUCACAAUUUCUAUGGUGUACGUCCACACGCUCGUCACCUAUCAUGUGCUUCACUUCCAAACAAUUUAUAUAACACCAAAUUCGAGGAUUCAUACCCUCAGAACCAAGUUUAGAAGUGUUACUUACCUCAAGUCGUGUAAUUCUUUACUCUGCUAUGCCUUUGCCUCACGAAUCGGCCUCCAAACACCUCAAAUCUAGUCAUAAAUAAUUCGAUUCAAUCAAUACAAAUUAUAGAAAUUAAUUCCAUAUGAAAAUAUAAAUUUUUCGUCAAAAUUCAAAAUUUCACCCAAAUAUCGCACAUGGGGCCCGCAUCUCGGAACCGACAAAAGUUAUAAAAUCCGUAAGUCCAUUCAACCACGAGUCUAACCAUACCAAUUUUACCAAAUUCCGACAUCAAUUCGACCUCCAAAUCAUCAAAUCUUAUUUUCAAAUCCCUAGGUCCAAAUUCCCGAUUUGCACCUCAAAACACGUAAUCUAGUCGGAAUAAUCGACGAUAGUUCAAUAUUAUUGACUAAAAAUGGUCACAAGUGACUUACCUCAAGAAUUCCCGUGAAAACCUCGCUCAAAAUCGCCCAGCCCGAGCUUGAAAUGCCCAAAAAUGGAAAAAGCUCGGAACCCCUCUGUUUUUGUACUGUCCAGGGGUUUUCGCUUUUGCGGAAUUUUUUAACUGCAUCUGCGGUCUCGCAGAUGCGAGAAUUCCUUCGCUUAUGCUGCUUCAUCACUUCUGCGGACAGGAAGUUCGCUUCUGCGGAGUCGCAUUUGCGACGUUUUCUUCGCUUCUACGAAGCCAUCUCCCCUUCCCCUUUCCGCUUCUGCGUGCAUAGCUUCGCACCUGCGACAAAAUUUUUGACUCGAAGGUGAUCAACCUUCAAGGCCAAGAUUGUUCAACUUGUGUGGUUUACAUUUACUUUUCUUAUCAUUAAUUUCAAUUUUAAUGUGAUUUCUCAUUUUAUAUCAAGUUAUAUUGCGUAUCCUUAAAACCGCGUAUAAAUUUAAUUGUUAUCCAAUUUUGAGGGUAAACAGUUUGGCACCCACUGUAGGGCUAAGGAUAAUUGUGGUUAAUUGAUACAAAUCUCCAUAACACAUAUUGCUUUACACUUUCUCUUUGAAGUGUCUUUGAUUCUAGGCUAAAAUACAAAAAUGUCAAACUCUCAAUCAACACCGCUGCAUAUUGACAACGAGUCCGGUCACCAAGGUGAAAAUAACAACAUAGCGCCCGGUAACGAGAUACCACUUGCUGAUCCCGCUGGAAUUCCAAUCGCAAAUCCGAUUGACGCUAAUUCGCAUGUGGCUAUCGAUGCAAACUUGCCUACCGACCCUGAAAAUAACGUUCGUGGUGGAGCCCGAUCGGCAAAUCGAAACACGCAAAACGUUGAAGGAGACGAGAUCAGUCUACGAGUGAUCUUGGAAAUGUUGCAGGCUCAACUGGCGGCGAUAGCCCAGUUACACAACCAAAGCCGUGCACCAAGCAGGAUUGAUGCCUCCUCCCAGGGAAGUCACCCGCAGGGAUGAACUCGUCGUAGAAAGGUCGAACGAGCACGAAUCGGGGACUAACCCCGAGAUCAUAAAGAUGCUUGAGGAGCUGACAAAACGGAUAGAAUCAGGGGAGAAAAAGAUCGAGGCUAACGACAAAAAGGUGGAAACCUACAAUUCCAGGGUAGAGCAAAUCCCAAGAGCACCUCCGAUAUUGAAAAGCCUCGAUUCCAAGAAGUUCGUGCAAAAACCUUUCCCUCCGAGCGCGGCUCCGAAGUCAAUCCCCAAGAAGUUCCAUAUGCCCGAAAUACCCAAGUACAAUGGAAUGACCGACCCUAACUAGCAUGUAACCUCUUAUACAUGUACUAUCAAAGGGAACAACCUGGAGGACGAUGAGAUCGAGGCUGUUUUGUUGAAAAUAUUUGGGGAAACCCUGUCAAAGGGAGUUAUGAUAUGGUAUCACAACUUACCUCCUAAUUCUAUUGACUCAUUUGCUAUGUUUGCAGAUUCUUUCGUAAAAGCACAUGCAGGUGCCAUCAAGGUCGAGACUAGGAAAUCAGACCUUUUCAAAGUCACACAGAAGGAUAACGAGAUGCUCAGGGAGUUCGUGUCCCGGUUUCAAAUGGAACGAAUGGAUCUGCCACCGGUCGCUAAUGAUUGGGCUGUUCAAGCUUUCACUCAAGGACUUAAUAUUCAAAGCUCGGGCAGCUGAAGCAGAACUUAAUAGUAUACUCGGCUGUUACAUGGGUCGAUGUGCAUAACCGGUAUCAGUCAAAAAUCAGAGUCUAAGAUGAUCAACUUGGGGCCCCUUCGGGGUUUGUCUAUCCAGUCAGAACCUUCGACAGAGUCAAGAGAGAGAUCGGUCGUGAACCAAGGCCAAAUAGGGAUCGGUAUCAGCCAUAUAAUAGAGAUCGGAGAAGCAACGGGUCCAGGCGAAACUCCAUGAGAAACGAAAAGAUAAAUGACCGAGGUCAAAGCAACCGGGGACUUAUGACCAAAAAUGGCUUCGACAGGUCCACCGGGUCUAAAGACGCACCAAGGCUAUUGGAAUACAACUUUAGUGUCGAUGCUACCGCUAUUGUAUCAGCUAUCAGGCGCAUCAAGGAUACCAUAUGGCCUCGACCUCUACAGUCCGAUCCAACCCAAAGGGAUCCUAACCAGAUGUGCAAAUAUCAUGGCACUCACGGUCACAGAACGGAAGAUUGUCGACAACUGAGAGAGGAAAUAGCUCGUCUAUUCAACAAUGGGCACUUUGAGAAUUUUUGAGCGAGCGAGCCAAGAAUCAUUUCAGGAACAAGGAUUCUAACAAACAGGCAGAACAAGAAGAACCUCAACACGUCAUCAACAUGAUCAUCGGCAGGGUUGAUAUCCCACAAGGCCCGAUGUUGAAACGCACCAAAGUAUCCAUCACUAGGAAAAAGCGAACUCGAGACUACAUACCGGAAGAAACUUUAUCUUUCAACGACAAGGAUGCAAAAGGGAUCGUUCAGCCCCACAAUGAUGCACUGGUAAUAUCUGUACUCGUAAAUAAAAUUCAGGUUANNNN